rnacentral:tmRNA from 1 species
UUGAUCUUUCAAUAUAGGCGCACUAUAAUGGGUUUGUCGGGGAUUUCUCCGACUAUGACGCUAGACGUGGAUGCGGAAUAGGCGUUCGUGGACCCGGGGGCAGUACCCGGCAGCUCCACCAUUUAUAACUAGCGCGAAACGUUUCGCGGGCGGCGGUCGCCGCCUCUUGGAAGGGUGCUUCUGAGAUUGGUUGUAGACAUUGGGGCUGAAACAGGAUCGACACGCGUAAUAAAGGCAUAUUGCGGCGUUCGGCAUGAUACCGCCGUUACCGGGUCAAUAUUAUAAAUGCAAACGAUAACUUUGCGUUCGUAGCAGCUAACGACAACUCUGUUGUUGAAGGUGAAGGUAAAAUCGCUGCUUAAUUGAGCAGUUUUUACAGCUACAAAUGAUUCUUAGGGAUUAACGUCCCUAUAGUGGGGUGCGCCUGCUACCUAGCAACAGAAGU